CCUACGGUGGGCAGCAGUGAGGAAUAUUGGUCAAUGGGCGCGAGCCUGAACCAGCCAAGUAGCGUGAAGGAUGACUGCCCUACGGGUUUUAAACUUCUUUUAUAAAGGAAUAAAUUAAGGCACCUGUGCCUUUUUGUAUGUACUUUAUGAAUAAGGAUCUGCUAACUCCGUGCCAGCAGCCGCGGUAAUACGGAGGAUCCGAGCGUUAUCCGGAUUUAUUGGGUUUAAAGGGAGCGUAGAUGGGUUGUUAAGUCAGUUGUGAAAGUUUGCGGCUCAACCGUAAAAUUGCAAUUGAUACUGGCAGCCUUGAGUACAGUAGAGGUAGGUGGAAUUCGUGGUGUAGCGGUGAAAUGCUUAGAUAUCACGAAGAACUCCGAUUGCGAAGGCAGCCUACUAAACUGCAACUGACAUUGAUGCUCGAAAGUGUGGGGAUCAAACAGGAUUAGAUACCCGAGUAGUC
rnacentral:rRNA from 1 species